rnacentral:rRNA from 1 species
CUACGGGGUGCAGCAGUGGGGAAUAUUGGACAAUGGGGGAAACCCUGAUCCAGCAAUGCCGCGUGUGUGAAGAAGGCCUGCGGGUUGUAAAGCACUUUCGGUUGGGAGGACUGCUUCUAGCACUAAUAUUGUUGGAAGUUGACGUUACCUUCAGAAGAAGCACCGGCUACCUCCGUGCCAGCGGCCGCGGUAAUACGGAGGGUGCAAGCGUUAAUCGGAAUUACUGGGCGUAAAGCGCGCGUAGGCGGCUAGAUCAGGCGGGUGUGAAAGCCCCGGGCUUAACCUGGGAACUGCAUCCGAUACUGUCUAGCUUGAGUACAGGAGAGGAGAGUGGAAUUCCACAUGUAGCGGUGAAAUGCGUAGAUAUGUGGAGGAACACCAAUGGCGAAGGCAGCUCUCUGGCCUGAUACUGACGCUGAGGUGCGAAAGCGUGGGGAGCAAACAGGAUUAGAUACCCCUGUAGUC